rnacentral:rRNA from 1 species
GGGUCAGUAGGUUGGUCGUGCCACCGGUACGUACUGGUCUCACUGAUUCCUCCUUCCUGAAGAACCGUAAUGCCAUUAAUUUGGUGUUGCGGGGAAACAGGACUGCUACUUUGAAAAAAUUAGAGCGUUUAAAGCAAGCUAACGCUUGAAUACAUUAGCAUGGAAUAAUGAAAUAGGACGAUCGAUCCUAUUUUGUUGGUUUCUAGGAUUGACGUA